rnacentral:rRNA from 1 species
UACCUGCAGCUCAAGUAGUGACCACUAUUAUUGGGCCUAAAACGUUCGUAGCCGGUUUGGUAAAUGCCUGGGUAAAUCGUGUAGCUUAACUAUACGAAUUCCGGGUAGACUGCCAAACUUGAAACCGGGAGAAGCUAGAGGUACUCCUGGGGUAGAGGUGAAAUUCUGUAAUCCUAGGGGGACCACCAGUGGCGAAGGCGUCUAGCUAGAACGGGUUUGACGGUGGGAACGAAGCCCUGGGGCGCAAACCGGAUUAGAUACCCGGGGUAGUCCAGGGUGUAAACGCUGCUUGCUUGAUGUUAGUUGGGCUCCGAGCCCAAUUAGUGUCGGAGAGAAGUUGUUAAGCAAGCUGCCUGGGAAGUACGAUCGCAAGAUUGAAACUUAAAGGAAUUGGCGGGGGAGCACAGCAACGGGUGGAGCGUGCGGUUU